rnacentral:rRNA from 1 species
AAUUUAAUAUUGAUUUAAUUAUUUUUUUAGUUUGGAUGUUUUUAUAGAAAUAACUUUUAUUUUAGUAUGUUUUAUUGAACUAAUUAGUUGAUUUAUAGUGUAAAGUACUGUGAGGGAUUAUUCUUAUAUUAUAAUUAAAGUUAAAUUAAUUUUUUGUACCUUUUGUAUCAGGGUUGAUUAAUUGUAUUUUAUGGAUAUUAAGUAUCCCGAAAUAAAGAGAGAUAAGAACUUAUGGGUUUCAAUGUGUCAAAAUUGUUUUUAAUUAGUUCUUAGUGAUGAUAUGUCAUUCGUUCUUUAUAUAUCUGGUUUUCUUGGAAUUAAAUUUAAUUUAGAAUAAAAGUGUUAAUAUAACAAGUUAUUAUUUGUUUAAUUGCUUUUAUUUAAUAUUAUUAGGGAUAAGCUUGAUAAUAUUAUUAUAAUUAUUGGUAAUAAUGUAGCUGUUGUAGGUUUAGAAUCGACCAUCAUUAAUUUCGUUAUAGAUUGGGCUAUAAUUUAUUUUAUUUAUUUAUGAUUUAAUUGAUUACAGGAAAAAAUGAAUUAAUUUUUUAUUUGUUAAUAUAAUGAUUAAAUUAGUAUUUUAUUUAAUUAAAUCAUAGGAACUCGGCAAAUAUUGUACUCGCCUGUUUAACAAAAACAUGUCCUUUUGUGAAUUGAAUAUGAGGUCUAAUCUGCCCAAUGAUUAAUUUUGAAUGGCCGCGGUAUUUUAACUGUGCUAAGGUAGCAUAAUCACUUGUCUUUUAAUUAAAGGCUAGAAUGAAUGAUUGGACGAGGUAUUGACUUUCUUUGAUUUAGUUUAUGAACUUAAUUUUUCAGUCAAAAAGCUGAAAUGUAUUUGAGGGACGAGAAGACCCUAUAGAUCUUUAUAUUUGUGUUUAUCAUAAAUUUUAGUGAAUUAAUUAUUGUGAAUUAAUAUUCGUAUUUGAUUGGGGCGAUUGUAGAAUUAAAUUAACUUCUAUUUAUUUUUAUCAUAAAUGAAUGUGUUUAUUGAUCCAUUUUUAUUGAUUAAAAGAUUAAGUUACCUUAGGGAUAACAGCGUAAUUUCUUCGAAGAGUUCUUAUCGAUGAAGGAGUUUGCGACCUCGAUGUUGGAUUAAAAUAAGUUUUGGGUGCAGAAGCUCAUAAACUAGGUCUGUUCGACCUUUAAUUUUUUACAUGAUCUGAGUUCAGACCGGCGUGAGCCAGGUCAGUUUCUAUCUUCAAAAGAUUGUUAAGUUUUAGUACGAAAGGACCAAACUUAAGGAAGAGUUUUUAAUUAUUGAUUUCUAUU